UACGAAGGGAGCUAGCGUUGUUCGGAAUCACUGGGCGUAAAGCGCACGUAGGCGGAUGUGUCAGUCAGGGGUGAAAUCCCGGAGCUCAACUUCGGGCCUGCAUCCGAAACUGCCCGACUAGAGGUAGGUAGGGGAGAUCGGAAUUCCUGGUGUAGCGGUGAAAUGCGCAGAUAUCAGGAGGAACACCGGUGGCGAAGGCGGAUCUCUGGGCCUUACCUGACGCUCAGGUGCGAAAGCUAGGGGAGCGAACAGG
rnacentral:rRNA from 1 species